CGAGUGUCUGUGAGGACAAUUUUCUGCGGUUUCCGAAUUCACAUUGUGGAGAUUUACCUUGGAGAACUGAGCACUCG